GGGCCGUGUCUGUUGGGGGCGGCGAGGGGCCGAGGCGGCGGGGCGGGCAGGAGCGGGCACCGGCGCGGCUCCGCUCGGCUCCUCUCCGGCUCCCGCCGGGCCCGUCGGCGCCGGCCGGCCCCGGCGCGGCAGGGCACGAUGGCGCCCGGGCUGGGGCCGUGGCUCCUGGCCUUGUGGCUGGCCGCGGGGCCGGCAGGGGUGUGGGCGCAGGUGAGGCUGCUGGAGUCCGGCGGAGGGCUGCGAGCGCCCGGGGGCUCCGUGCGCCUCUCCUGCCGCGGGUCCGGAUUCGACUUCGGGAGCUAUGCAGUGCGGUGGUACCGUCAGGCUCCCGGUGGCAGUCUCGAGUGGGUGUCCUACAUCAGCUAUGAUUCCUCGGUAACUAAAUUCGGGCAGUCCGUGGAGGGUCGAGCCACGGCGUCCCGGGACAAUUCCCGGUCCGAGUCAUCUCUGUCCCUGCGUGCCCUGAACCCCCGGGACUCUGCCCGCUACUUCUGUGCCGUUCGCACGGAGACGGGAAAUCCAGCAGAGCUUUAACACAAACCCCCCACCAGGGUUGCUCUGGGCCUCGGAACUGGAAGGCAGCGGAGCCCCAUAGGCGUUAAGAUGUGCUCUCAGAGAGUCAUGUA